GGAAGAGCCCAAGAUUGAAAGCUGGCGUCUUCGGCGUCCGCAUUGUAAUCUCAAGAAGUGUUUUCCGCUUCGGACCAUGCCUAAGUCCCUUGGAAAAGGGCAUCAUAGAGGGUGAUAAUCCCGUACAUGGCAUGGAGCGCCCGAAGCUUUGUGAUACGCUUUCUACGAGUCGAGUUGUUUGGGAAUGCAGCUCAAAAUGGGUGGUAAAUGCCAUCUAAGGCUAAAUAUUGGGGAGAGACCGAUAGCGAACAAGUACAGUGAUGGAAAGAUGAAAAGAACUUUGAAAAGAGAGUUAAACAGUACGUGAAAUUGCCAAAAGGGAAGGGUAGGAGGUCAGAGAUGCGUCUUGGGAUUCAGCCUUGCUUUUGCAUGGUGUUUUUCCCAAGUUGCAGGCCAACGUCGGUUUUGGGCACUGGAGAAGGGUAGGAGGAACGUGGCACCUCUCGGGGUGUGUUAUAGCCUCCUACUGGAUACAGCGACCGAGACCGAGGAACGCAGCGUACUCGUAAGAGCGGGCCUUUUGGCACCUUUACGCUUAGGGCGUUGGCAUAAUGGCCCUCUACCACCCGUCUUGAA
rnacentral:rRNA from 1 species